UCCAGUUGUCUUCAUUAAUUAUUCUGACUUUUCCUCUGCCCAAGACCACUGGAAAUUAAAAGCAAAACCCCUCAAAUAUUUUGCUUAUCUGAUUUCUUUUACAACCGGCAUAACUUCUUUCAUUUCAAUCGUCACUCCCUAAUACCGAAAAUCAAAAUCUUAUGCCCUUUCCUUUCCUUUUACUCUGAACAACCCAGACGCUUUGGUUCCAGUUCUUCUUAAAACGCUCUUAAGGUCUCUCCUUCCAGGUGUUGUUCCUCUCCCUUCUUGAGUGCUCCUUUUGCUAAUCUGUGUGCUUCUAUAUUUUCAUUCCUUGGUUUGAAGUAGAAUCUGACUUUUUGAAAGAAAUCUUUUAAGCUUUGAAUGUCACUAAUGAUUGCUCCUAUUUCUGAUCUGUCUCGAUUUUCAUUUUGACAUUUUGUUAUUACUGUUUUUGAAUCUCCUAUUAUGUCUAAAGUACGAUAUGCCAACUGAAUCCCUAACCUUGUUGCUUGAUAUCCUGCAUAUGCUUCUGUUGCAAACGGAGAUGCAACAUUUUCAUGAAUGAUCGACUUUGCUACCACGAUUCUACCCUCCUCCUCCUUAACAAUAAGACCUGACGCAGAUCUGUUAUUCUGUGAGUCAAAAGCAACAUCGAAAAAGAUGGUCGUAUUCGCUCUUUGUAGCCUCUGACUAGACCUUAUACUGGUUACCAAAAUUAACCAUAGCCCGCAACAAAAUCCCCUGCAUUGUUCGUUUGUUCCUUCGCUGAAAACCCAGGGCACCGUUGAAAGACAUGGGUGCUAUCUUCAACUCCCUGGCCACAUCUCAAACAGCGGUCCUCUGUCAUUACUCUUUUCAGCUUUAGAUUGGAGAAAGUGGGGAUGUAAUUCCACGCUAUUUUCCAUACUGUAAUUUUAAAUUUUGAAGUUAUAUUUAGAUUCCAUAAUUUCCUGUAAAAAUUUUUAGUAUGGAUCUAUAAAUAAGCAUUAGGAUCUAUUGUAGACUCUUGAAAUAGUUUAUAGGCGCUUCUUACUGAGAAGGCUCCUGUCGCCUCCCCUCUCCAGACUUGAACGUCUUCGUAGUUUGACUUUGAAAGCGGAAUCUGCAUUAUCUUCUUCGCAAUAUCCGUAUUAAAGGUACAGACAAUCAAAUCUCUGUUCCAUGUUCUACUUUCUUUGUUGAUUAAGUCGGACACUACUCUGAUAACUUCACUACUUUUGUUGUCCUGUAAUCUGUCUUCAGUCACUCCCGAUAUCCAACGAUCAUUCCAUAUUGA